rnacentral:lncRNA from 1 species
AUGACUAAAAGUAAUGAAGGUUGUGAACCUACAGUUUUUGAGGAUGCAAGUCCAACUGUAGCCCUCAACGAAAUGAGCUAUCUACCGACUAUCCUGAGCCUGAAAUGGGUGGAAAGAAGGGUCGUGAGAUUAUAUAAUCCCAGUGAGUAAACAAAUACCAUCUAAAAUAUUUAAAGCUGAGUAAAUGGAGACAGAUAAAAUAGAUUAGCAUAAAAAUGAUUCACAGCAUUUCGAACUCAUUUUAAUAGGAUAAAAUAGAUUCAUUUCACCCAAAUAAACAACGAGGCUUAUGAUUUCCUGAAAAGCUUGGCUCGUGCCAAAAUCAUUGUCAUACUCAGUUAUCAAGGAUACCUUGACCUAAGGCUAUCCCAACCGAGUUCGCCAAGGUUAUUAAAAAGUCAUGUUCGCAUAAAUCAUGUUUUUAUUUUGAAAACAUAGCCAUUCCUUGGCGUUGGCUGAGUUCACCCUCACGUGGAGGUUUGGCGUGAAGUGAACUCUAAAGUUUUACCUCGAGAGUUACCCUACGCGCCUCCCCAACCAAGGUAUGAACAUAACGGGAUUUCGGGCCCCUCAAAAAGGCUGGUCCACAGAACCAGCCCACUGCAGCAAGCUAAACCCACCAUACCAUAAAAAUUCAACAACAUGACAUGACAAUUUUAUCAUUAUCCAGCCUAUCAAGGGAAACAACAGUUUAUACAUUUUCAGCACAUUUACCAAUUCAACCAUUCAUGCCAAUCUUAUCAUAAGCCAUUCAAUUCAAACAUAAUUUAUAACACAGCAAGUAGUUUCCAAUUACUCCAUUUUCAAAACCAUUAUUCAAUUUCAAGACAAUUUUAUAAAAUCAUUUCAUUUAAUCGCAUUUUGCAUAAAAUUACAAAAUAGCAUAAAAACAUACUUUAGAUAAUUAAGACGAUAAUAAGGUUAUUCACUGUAAUGGAAAUUGAGUUCUGAGUACUCCGAUUCUUGAUCCUCGGGUACUAUCUCUUUACUUUUGCCAGAAAGUUCACCACCUAGACAUAAUGCACAAUCAAGCAAUUCACCACAUGGGUACUAAACCGUUAUAAAACUAUAUGGAUGCAUGAAAUGGAAUGCAAAUUGUUCAGAUUAUCGUCUAAACACGGUGUUCUACACAAAUUCAAUUGUGUACCUAAAUAAAACGGUAUUGGCCUAAUUCGAUCUAUCACUCGAUUAAUUGGCCAAUAUGUCCAAUUCAACUCCAAUUAACUCCAUUUUUCUUCCAAUUCUCCAAACCUUCAAACACAAGUCAAAUAGCAUAAAAUUUAGCAAAAUAAUCUUCACAUUUUCUCUUGGGAAUUUCGGCCAUGGUGGAUGCAUUAAUACUAUAAUUUUUCCUACUUGAUUUUCUCACCGUAAUUCAUCAUUUCCUAACCAAUUCACUUGAAAUAAAAUCAAAAUCAUCAUCAAUAUUCUACAUGGAGAAUUCGGCCAAUGAGGGUUAUGGAAGAACAUGAAUUUUUCUUGGUUGCUUUUCAUGCUACACAUCACCAAUCAACUAAAAACACUAGAAUAUCCUAAAAUCUAACCAAAACAACCAUCAAAAUCUCUCUCUAAGUGUUCGACCAGCAAGAGACCCAUCAUGAAAUCAUGUGAUUCAACCAUGGAAAAUGCAAAAGAAUGUAUGGGAACGGUAGAUCACAAGUCAAAAUCAAGAAAUUUUACCUUUGAUUGCUUGAUUACUUGAAAUCCACUAAUUUUCUCUUGAAUUUUCACUCUAGGGUUUUUGUUCUUUCUUUUCUUCCUUUGUUCUUGCUUUGGCCAG